rnacentral:misc_RNA from 1 species
GAUCAUUAAAGAAAUUUAAUAAUUUUGAAAAUGGAUUUUUUUGUUUUGGCAAGAGCAUCCAGCAGCUUUUACUGGGCAAGAAGACAAGAGAUGGAGAGUCCAGCCGGGCCUGCGCUUAAGUGCGCGGUCUUGCUAGGCUUGUAAGUUUCUUUCUUGCUAUUCCAAACGGUGAGAGAUUUCUGUGCUUUUGUUAUAGGACAAUUAAAACCGUUUCAAUACAACACACUGUGGAGUUUUCAUAUCUUUGCAACUUUUUCUUUGGGCAUUCGAGCAAUCGGGGCCCAGAGGUAACAAACACAAACAAUUUUAUCUAUUCAUUAAAUUUUUGUCAAAAACAAGAAUUUUCGUAACUGGAAAUUUUAAAAUAUUAAAAACUUUCAACAACGGAUCUCUUGGUUCUCGCAUCGAUGAAGAACGCAGCGAAAUGCGAUACGUAAUGUGAAUUGCAGAAUUCCGUGAAUCAUCGAAUCUUUGAACGCACAUUGCGCCCCUUGGUAUUCCAGGGGGCAUGCCUGUUUGAGCGUCAUUUCCUUCUCAAACAUUCUGUUUGGUAGUGAGUGAUACUCUUUGGAGUUAACUUGAAAUUGCUGGCCUUUUCAUUGGAUGUUUUUUUUCCAAAGAGAGGUUUCUCUGCGUGCUUGAGGUAUAAUGCAAGUACGGUCGUUUUAGGUUUUACCAACUGCGGCUAAUCUUUUUUUAUACUGAGCGUAUUGGAACGUUAUCGAUAAGAAGAGAGCGUCUAGGCGAACAAUGUC